rnacentral:rRNA from 1 species
GUGCCAGCCGCCGCGGUAAUACCGGCAGCCCAAGUGAUGUCCCAUCUUAUUGGGCCUAAAGCGUCCGUAGCUGGCUGACCAAGUCUACCGGGAAAUCCACCCGCUCAACGGGUGGGCGUCCGGUAGAAACAGGCCGGCUUGGGACCGGAAGGCUCAGAGAGUACGUCCGGGGUAGGAGUGAAAUCCCGUAAUCCCGGACGGACUACCGAUGGCGAAAGCACUCUGAGAAGACGGCUUCGACAGUGAGGGACGAAAGCUCGGGUCUCGAACCGGAUUAGAAACCCCUGUAGUCC